rnacentral:rRNA from 1 species
AUUGAACGCUGGCGGCAGGCUUAACACAUGCAAGUCGAGCGGGGGAGGUUGCUUCGGUAACUGACCUAGCGGCGGACGGGUGAGUAAUGCUUAGGAAUCUGCCUAUUAGUGGGGGACAACAUUCCGAAAGGGAUGCUAAUACCGCAUACGCCCUACGGGGGAAAGCAGGGGAUCUUCGGACCUUGCGCUAAUAGAUGAGCCUAAGUCGGAUUAGCUAGUUGGUGGGGUAAAGGCCUACCAAGGCGACGAUCUGUAGCGGGUCUGAGAGGAUGAUCCGCCCCACUGGGACUGGGACACGGCCCAGACUCCUACGGGAGGUAGCAGUGGGGAAUAUUGGACAAUGGGCGGAAGCCUGAUCCAGCCAUGCCGCGUGUGUGAAGAAGGCCUUUUGGUUGUAAAGCACUUUAAGCGAGGAGGAGGCUACUAGUACUAAUACUACUGGAUAGUGGACGUUACUCGCAGAAUAAGCACCGGCUAACUCUGUGCCAGCCGCCGCAGUAACAC